AGAGUUUGAUCCUGGCUCAGGAUGAACGCUGGCGGCGUGCCUAACACAUGCAAGUCGAACGGAGCUUUUAUUGAACAAGACUUCGGUCAAGGAAUAUUUAAGCUUAGUGGCGGACGGGUGAGUAACGCGUGAGCAACCUGCCUUUCAGAGGGGGAUAACGUUUGGAAACGAACGCUAAUACCGCAUAACGUAUAUUUGUGGCAUCGCAGAUAUACCAAAGGAGCAAUCCGCUGAGAGAUGGGCUCGCGUCCGAUUAGAUAGUUGGUGAGGUAACGGCCCACCAAGGCGACGAUCAGUAGCCGACCUGAGAGGGUGACCGGCCACAUUGGGACUGAGACACGGCCCAAACUCCUACGGGAGGCAGCAGUGGGGAAUAUUGCACAAUGGGCGCAAGCCUGAUGCAGCGACGCCGCGUGAGUGAAGAAGUAUUUCGGUAUGUAAAGCUCUAUCAGCAGGGAAGAUAAUGACAGUACCUGACUAAGAAGCUCCGGCUAAAUACGUGCCAGCAGCCGCGGUAAUACGUAUGGAGCAAGCGUUAUCCGGAUUUUACUGGGUGUAAAGGGAGCGUAGGUGGCGUUGGCAAAUCAAAAAUGAAAAGCCCUUGGCUCAACUCUGGGACUGCUUUUGAAACUGUCAUGCUAGAGUGCAGGAGAGGUAAGUGGAAUUCCUAGUGUAGCGGUGAAAUGCGUAGAUAUUAGGAGGAACACCAGUGGCGAAGGCGACUUUCUGGACUGUAACUGACACUGAGGUACGAAAGCGUGGGGAGCAAACAGGAUUAGAUACCCUGGUAGUCCACGCUGUAAACGAUGAGCACUAGCUGUUGGCGUAGCAAUACGUCGGUGGCGCAGUUAACGCAUUAAGUGCUCCGCCUGGGGAGUACGUACGCAAGUAUGAAACUCAAAGGAAUUGACGGGGACCCGCACAAGCAGCGGAGCAUGUGGAUUAAUUCGAAGCAACGCGAAGAACCUUACCAGGGCUUGACAUCCUCUUGAAAGGUUGGGUAAAACCGACCCCUCUUCGGACAAGAGAGACAGGUGGUGCAUGGUUGUCGUCAGCUCGUGUCGUGAGAUGUUGGGUUAAGUCCCGCAACGAGCGCAACCCUUGCCGAUAGUUGCCAUCAUUAAGUUGGGCACUCUAUCGGGACUGCCGGGGAUAACUCGGAGGAAGGUGGGGAUGACGUCAAAUCAUCAUGCCCCUUAUGUUCUGGGCUACACACGUGCUACAAUGGUCGGUACAAAAAGCAGCAAUACCGUGAGGUGGAGCAAAUCUCAAAAACCGAUCUCAGUUCGGACUGUAGGCUGCAACUCGCCUACACGAAGUUGGAGUUGCUAGUAAUCGUGGAUCAGAAUGCCACGGUGAAUGCGUUCCCGGGUCUUGCACUCACCGCCCGUCA
rnacentral:rRNA from 1 species